CAAGGAAUCUUCCGCAAUGGGCGAAAGCCUGACGGAGCAACGCCGCGUGCAGGAUGAAGCAGCUUCGCUGUGUAAACUGCUGUCAGGUCCUAGGAACAAUGACCGGGACCAGAGGAAGGGCCGGCUAAACUCGUGCCAGCAGCCGCGGUAAUACGAGUGGCUCGAGCGUUAAUCGGAAUCACUGGGCUUAAAGGGUGCGCAGGCGGGUCGGCAAGCAUCUUGUGAAAUCCCUCGGCUCAACCGGGGAAUU
rnacentral:rRNA from 1 species